rnacentral:rRNA from 1 species
UAAAAAAUUUGGCGGUAUUUUAUUAUUCAGAGGAACCUGUUCUGUAAUCGAUAAUCCACGAUGGACCUUACUUAAGUUUGUAAUCAGUUUAUAUACCGUCGUUAUUAGAAUAUUUUAUAAGAAUGUUAAUUUUCAUAAUUUUAUAAUAAGAAAAUAUAUCAGAUCAAGGUGUAGCUUAUAUUUAAGUAGAAAUGGGUUACAAUAAAAUUAUUUAUAUGGAUAUAAAUUUGAAAUAUUUAUUGAAGGUGGAUUUGAUAGUAAAAUUAUAAAGAUUAAUAAUUUGAUUUUAGCUCUAAAAUAUGUACACAUCGCCCGUCACUCUUAUUAUUAAGGUAAGAUAAGUCGUAACAUAGUAGAUGUACUGGAAAGUGUAUCUAGAAUGCAAUUUAAAGCUUAUUAAGUAAAGUAUUUCAUUUACAUUGAAAAGAUUUUUGUGCAAAUCAAUAUAAAUUGAUUAAAUUUUAUUUAUUAAUAAUUUUUUUUUUUAAUUUAAAUUAUUAAAAAUAAUUAUAAAAUGAUUUGUUUUAGUAUUUAAUAAAGAAAAAAUAAUUUUAAUUAUAGUGUAAUAGUAUUGUGAAAGAAAAUUGAAAUAAAUUGAAAAAUUUUUAUUUUAAAAGAAAAUUUAAUUUAUUG